rnacentral:lncRNA from 14 species
CUGAGCUGGUUUUGAACUAGUCAGCUGGGGAGCUGGUACCAAUCCAGCUGUGGCAGCGUGGAACUCAGGGCUGUCUGGAAAACAUGCCCAAAAAGCUGGGUAAAUACUUAAGUGGUUAGGCUGGCCUGAACUGAGCAGCUAGACUACUCCUGGUGCCAAAGCUAGCUAAUUUAAAGCUUGCCCAGCUAUGUUUAUGUGGUAUUGCAGUCCCAUCGCUUGUGACUGUAACAUAGACAUACCCUCCUGUGAAUUCUGUGACUCAGCCCAGUCUUUUGGCAGACAAUUCCCCUACUCUUCUGGGAGCUGUGUGGGUAGUGUCAACUCUAGUCUCCAGGAAAGGCUUUUGCAGUCUGCAAGAGAGAUGGAAGCGAGGAAAAGGUCUUCAGAGAAAAGACAAUUGAUCUGGAAUGGGAAUGGGGGAAGACAGCCAUGUGGCCACUUUCCAAACAUGCUUUCAGAAGCUUGGAAAACCUUGGUGUCCAUAUCUGAAAAACAUCAUUCCACACCCACCGAUAAGCUAUAAGCCACCCCCAGUCCUGGAAGCUAAUCUGUGGGAAUGAACUCUGGUGUCCCUGUGGAGCCUCAAGGUCAGAGCCUAAGGAAAAGAGUAACAACGGAAGUGCCUUCAGGAUAUGGACAGCAUUUUGCCAAGAGUAGCAAAAGAAACUAUAAUGUUUAAACCAAAAAAUUAAAUUUGAAUAGCAGGCACUUUUACUGAACAAUUGUACAGAUUUCAAAACAAAGUAAUCUUUGCAUUUACCCUCCCCUUUUUCUGUUUUUCUUUGAAGUUUAUUUUCUGUUUAAAUAAACUUGCUUACUUCCCAGAAAUUCA